UACGUAGGUGGCAAGCGUUAUCCGGAUUUACUGGGUGUAAAGGGCGUGUAGGCGGGAUGGUAAGUCAGAUGUGAAAACUAUGGGCUCAACCCAUAGCCUGCAUUUGAAACUAUCGUUCUUGAGUGUUGGAGAGGCAGGCGGAAUUCCGUGUGUAGCGGUGAAAUGCGUAGAUAUCAGGAGGAACAUCGGUGGCGUAAGCGCUUUACUGGGCCGUAAUUGACGCUGAGGAACGAAAGCCAGGGUAGCAAAUGGG
rnacentral:rRNA from 1 species